rnacentral:misc_RNA from 1 species
GCAAACUUGGUCAUUUAGAGGAAGUAAAAGUCAUAACAAGGUUUCCGUAGGUGAACCUGCGGAAGGAUCAUUAAUGAUGCCCCCGACGUCUUGAUUGACUGGUGGGGUUUGGGUCUGGCCUUCUGGGUCGACCUUCAUCUAACACACCGUGAACUGUGGCUUCGGCCAUUUUACACAAACUCUUAGUAAUGAAUGUAUUAUCAUAACAUAAUAAAACUUUCAACAACGGAUCUCUUGGCUCUCGCAUCGAUGAAGAACGCAGC